rnacentral:rRNA from 1 species
GAGGGGCCCGCGCCCGAUUAGCUAGUUGGUAGGGUAACGGCCUACCAAGGCUUUGAUCGGUAGCUGGUCUGAGAGGAUGAUCAGCCACACUGGAACUGAGACACGGUCCAGACUCCUACGGGAGGCAGCAGUGGGGAAUCUUGCACAAUGGGCGAAAGCCUGAUGCAGCGACGCCGCGUGGGGGAUGAAGCAUUUCGGUGUGUAAACCCCUUUCGAUCCGGACGAAACCCCGCAAGGGAUUGACGGUACGGAUAUAAGAAGCCCCGGCUAACUACGUGCCAGCAGCCGCGGUAAGACGUAGGGGGCCAGCGUUGUUCGGAAUUACUGGGUGUAAAGGGUUCGUAGGCGGUGCGGCAAGUUGGGAGUGAAAUCUCUGGGCUUAACCCAGAGGCUGCUUCCAAAACUGCUGUGCUUGAGUGUGGGAGAGGCGCGUGGAAUUGCAGGUGUAGCGGUGAAAUGCGUAGAUAUCUGCAGG